CCUACGGGAGGCAGCAGUCGGGAAUAUUGCGCAAUGGAGGAAACUCUGACGCAGGGACGCCGCGUGCAGGAAGAAGGUUUUCGGAUUGUAAACUGCUUUAGACAGGGAAGAAAAAAGACAGUACCUGUAGAAUAAGCUCCGGCUAACUACGUGCCAGCAGCCGCGGUAAUAAGUAGGGAGCAAGCGUUAUCCGUAUUUAGUGGGUGUAAAGGGUGCGUAGACGGAGAAGCAAGUUAGUUGGGAAAUCCCUCGGCUUAACUGAGGAACUGCAACGAAAACUACUUCCCUUGGGUACUGGAGAGGAAAGUGGAAGUCCUGGUGUGGCGGUGAAAUGGGUAGAUAUUAGGAGGAACACCAGUGGCGAAGGCGACUUUCUGGACAGUAACUGACGUUGAGGCACGAAAGUGUGGGGAGCAAACAGGCUUCGCUACCCCGUAGUC
rnacentral:rRNA from 1 species